rnacentral:rRNA from 1 species
AUUAGUUAAAUGGAUAACCGUAGUAAUUCUAGGGCUAAUACAUGCGUUACGGGGGACUUUACGGAACCCCAGUAUUUAUUAGAUUCAAACCAAUAUUCCGAAGGUCUACUUGAGAUGAUUCAUGAUAACUGAUCGAAUUGCUGGUCUACCGGCAAUAAGUCAUUCAUGUUUCUGCUUCCCAUCAGCUUGAUGGUAGUGUAUUGGACAACCAUGGCAUUCACGGGCUAUCGGGGGAUUAGGGUUCGAUUCCGGAGAGGGAGCCUGAGAAACGGCUACCACUUCUACGGAAGGCAGCAGGCGCGAAAAUUAUCCAAUCCUGAUUCAGGGAGGUAGUGAAACAAAUAAUGAACUAGGAUUUAUCCUGGGGUCACAAUGGGCUUGAUUUGCAAACUUUAUUUAGCGAGGAACAAUUGGAGGGCAAGUCUGGUGCCAGCAGCCGCGGUAAUUCCAGCUCCAAUAGUGUAUAUUAAUGUUCCUGCAGUUAUUCGAUGCUCGUAGUUGGAUUUCUGGAGGCUGAGAUCGGAGGGUAGCCAAGGUUACCGCUGAACUCUUCCUUCAUCCACCUGUUAACGUUGUUCGGGAUUCGUUUCUCGGCUUCGGGCUCAGGCAUAUACUUUUACCCUUUUUCUAUGUUUAUUGUUUUGAGUAAAUUAUAGUGUUUCAGGCAGGCGUGCGCCGGAAUACUUUAGCAUGGAAUAAUCGAAUUGGACCGUGUAUUCUUAUUGAAUUCUUCCUUAUUGUUGGUUCAAGGACACGGAAAUGGUUAAUAGGGAUAGUGUUUUUAUUAUCAGGGGAGGCAUUAGUAUUUAAUUUCCAGAGGUGAAACUCUUUGAAAUAUUAAAGACUAACUUAUGCGAAAGCAUUUAUUAUUGCCAAUAAUGUUUUCAUUAAUCAUUGAACGAAAGUUAGGGGAUCAAAGACGAUCAGAUACCGUCCUAGUCUUAACCAUAAACGUUGCCGACUAGGGAUCGGAGGGCGUGCACAUUCCGCCUUCGGCACCUUACGAGAAAUCAAAGUCUUUUGGGUUCUGGGGGUAGUAUGGUCGCAAGGCUGAAACUUAAAGGAAUUGACGGAAGGGCACCACCAGGAGUGGAGCUUGCGGCUCAAUUUGACUCAACACGGGAAAUCUUACCAGGUCCAGACAUAGCGAGGAUCGACAGAUUGAUAGCUCUUUCUUGAUUCUAUGGGUAUUUUAUAUAUAUUUUGGUGGUGCAUGGCCGUUCUUAGUUGGUGGAGUGAUUUGUCUGGUUAAUUCCGUUAAACGAACGAGACCUCAGCCUGCUAAAUAGUUACCUGUCUUUUCAUUUUUUAUAAUUACGAGA